rnacentral:rRNA from 1 species
CCUACGGGUGGCAGCAGAGAGGAAUAUUGGUCAAUGGACGAGAGUCUGAACCAGCCAAGUAGCGUGAAGGAUGACUGCCCUAUGGGUUGUAAACUUCUUUUAUAUGGGAAUAAAAUGUUCCACGUGUGGGAUUUUGUAUGUACCAUAUGAAUAAGGAUCGGCUAACUCCGUGCCAGCAGCCGCGGUAAUACGGAGGAUCCGAGCGUUAUCCGGAUUUAUUGGGUUUAAAGGGAGCGUAGGUGGAUUGUUAAGUCAGUUGUGAAAGUUUGCGGCUCAACCGUAAAAUUGCAGUUGAAACUGGCAGUCUUGAGUACAGUAGAGGUGGGCGGAAUUCGUGGUGUAGCGGUGAAAUGCUUAGAUAUCACGAAGAACUCCGAUUGCGAAGGCAGUUCACUGGACUGCAACUGACACUGAGGCUCGAAAGUGUGGGUAUCAAACAGGAUUAGAUACCCUAGUAGUC